rnacentral:rRNA from 1 species
UUUUAUUUGAGAGUUUGAUCCUGGCUCAGGAUGAACGCUGGCGGCGUGCCUAACACAUGCAAGUUGAGCGAUUUACUUCGGUAAAGAGCGGCGGACGGGUGAGUAACGCGUGGGUAACCUACCCUGUACACACGGAUAACAUACCGAAAGGUAUGCUAAUACGGGAUAAUAUAUUUGAGAGGCAUCUCUUAAAUAUCAAAGGUGAGCCAGUACAGGAUGGACCCGCGUCUGAUUAGUUAGUUGGUAAGGUAACGGCUUACCAAGGCGACGAUCAGUAGCCGACCUGAGAGGGUGAUCGGCCACAUUGGAACUGAGACACGGUCCAAACUCCUACGGGAGGCAGCAGUGGGGAAUAUUGCACAAUGGGCGAAAGCCUGAUGCAGCAACGCCGCGUGAGUGAUGAAGGCCUUCGGGUCGUAAAACUCUGUCCUCAAGGAAGAUAAUGACGGUACUUGAGGAGGAAGCCCCGGCUAACUACGUGCCAGCAGCCGCGGUAAUACGUAGGGGGCUAGCGUUAUCCGGAUU